rnacentral:rRNA from 1 species
CCUACGGGAGGCAGCAGUGGGGAAUAUUGGACAAUGGGCGAAAGCCUGAUCCAGCCAUGCCGCGUGUGUGAAGAAGGCCUUCGGGUUGUAAAGCACUUUCAGUGGGGAAGAAAGCCUUGGGGCUAAUACCCUCGAGGAAGGACAUCACCCACAGAAGAAGCACCGGCUAACUCCGUGCCAGCAGCCGCGGUAAUACGGAGGGUGCGAGCGUUAAUCGGAAUUACUGGGCGUAAAGCGCGCGUAGGCGGUCUGAUAAGCCGGUUGUGAAAGCCCCGGGCUCAACCUGGGAACGGCAUCCGGAACUGCCAGGCUAGAGUGCAGGAGAGGAAGGUAGAAUUCCCGGUGUAGCGGUGAAAUGCGUAGAGAUCGGGAGGAAUACCAGUGGCGAAGGCGGCCUUCUGGACUGACACUGACGCUGAGGUGCGAAAGCGUGGGUAGCAAACAGGAUUAGAUACCCCAGAGUC